AUUAUUUUGGCAGAUUAGUGCGAUAAAUUUAGAAUUUAUAUAAGUACAUGAGUACAAAUAAUA
rnacentral:tRNA from 1 species